GGUCGAAGGUCACCUGGUCCAGCCCUAACUAUAUGCUUUAGCAAAAAGGAAAGUUUUAAGCCUAAUCUUGAAAGUAGAGAUAGUGUCUGUCUCCUGAAUCCAAACUGGAAGCUGGUUCCACAGAAGAGGGGCCUGAAAACUGAAGGCUCUGCCUCCCAUUCUACUUUUAAAUACUCUAGGAACAACAAGUAGGCCUGCAGUGUGAGAGCGAAGUGCUCUAAUAGGGUGAUAUGGUACUAUCUAAUCCAAGCUGGCCCGCUCUCCUGAGAAGCAACGAGCAGAAGUCAGCCAGCAGUAGCCACAGGGGUACAGCAGCCUCUGUGCAGUCUGUAGGCUAAAAGCUGCAGUUCUGGAUAAAACGUCCAUUAGUCCUUGUCCCCCCUCUGACACAGGAAGAUACAGGGCCAAUGCUGACCAGACCAGACAAACUUCACCAGAAGCUGCUGCACCUCUUCCAGACGACCAGGUGGUGGCACUAAAACAGUAAAUGUGUGCAUAAGGAUGAGGCAGCUACGUAUCUACUACAUCUAGAUACCAACGAGACAUCCGCUCUGAGCUGGCUGACAAACCCCUGCUCUUUCAGAAAAUAACAACCGCUGUAUUCAUCCAUGAAGCGUAUGAAAUGUUUCCAUGUCCCACCUGCUCUCCUACAGCCAACAGCACCUGCUCGAGGGUGGUGCUCGGCUGCAGCUCCACCCUGACUCCAUGCUUCAAGGAUGGCGUCCCACUGGACGCCAUCUCUGCCAAGAACACAACAAACUAACAAUCACAGACAGCUCUGAAACGAUCACACAACAAACACAGGAAGAAAACUGAAAAAGCAUUUAAUGAAAAACUCAGUCUCACUCACACCCACCAAACUCCCAGCAUGCAGUGCAAGCGAGUGAGAUAAACAGAGAGAGAGAGAGAGAGGCUAUUUUGGCUUCAUGUAAAAAGCCUCCACAGUAACAGGAAGUCACGAUGCCUCAGAUGAGCUUUAUUCUCAUGUUUUUAGUGAUGAGAUUUUCUGCUUCUGAGGAAGUGAAGAAGAACCUGACGGGCACUGUGGGAGGAAACAUCACUCUACCUGCACCUGUGCUGGAGGAAGGAUUUCUGUCAUAUGGAGGAAAGAUUAUUGUUAUGGUGAAUAAUGGAGAAUUUAAAGUAUACAAGAACCGACUUCAGUGGGACAGAAACUCUGGACUCUUUACACUCACAGAGCUGCAGAGGAACGACUCAGGGAUUUAUACUGUCGACUCUAAAACAGGAAACGAUUUCACAUCAUCAUAUAAGCUGACAGUGUACGACUCUGUACCGACUCCUGCAGUGAAGAAAGUGAGUGUGAGCUCUGAGAGCUGCUCCUUACUGUGUUUGGUGGACAGAGAGACCAAACUGCUGUGGUUUAAAGACGAGCAGAGACUGAACCAGAGCAGCUCUGCGCUCUCUCUGCCUCUCACUGUGCACAAACAGGACUUCAGCUCCUCUUACAGAUGUGUGGCUGCAAACCCUGCAGAGGAGAAAACUCUUCCUGUCCAUGUGAAUACGACCUGUGGAGACACCAACAACGACACCAACAGCUCGACUGAACCAAGAAACUAUAACAUCCUCAUUAUAAUCUUCUGUGUCCUGAGUGCUACCCUCAUCAUCAUCAUCAUCAUCCUCAUCAUGAGGAGGAAGCAUCCUGUCCAAGACAAGUUUAACCUCCUACAAGCUGCAGGCAGGGCUCCUGUGGAUGAAGUGGUCCUUUAUACUGACACAGGUGACAGCAGACAGGUGGGUACCUGCUCACACCGUCAGCUCAGAGCUCAUGUUCAUGCAGCUCAGUGGAAGCUGACUACAUGCAGACACACGACAAACACAUGAAACACUAAAGUCAGGAGUGUGUUGGAGUCACAGUUCUUCUGCUGGAACAUGAACUUCCACACAGAUCACAUUCUCCCUCUGGCUGCUCUCCACCAGGAGAAGAAGCUGUCUCCCACUUCCAUGUUUCACUGCGUUGCUCAUUCCCGUGUUUUUCCUUCUCCAGGGUGGGAUUUUAGCGGCUGUAUCAGGAACCAGUGAUGGCUCCAGUCUGACAGCAGUGUCUUAUAAACUGGUGCUCGUCACAUGAGAGAGGUGUGACUGGCUGCAACAUCCGAGGAAAGCUGGACUCUGGAAAGAAGUUUUCCUUUGGUAUUGAUGAUUUGGAUUGGUUAUGACUAAAGUGUAUUUUUACAGUGUGAAUGUGCCACAGAAGAGUUUUCACCUACGUCAUCAUGACCUCUGACCUGCUCCUCUGACACUGAUCGUAAAAGACUGUAUCCAGACAAUGGACAGAGGACGCAGCUGUACGUCAUGUUUACCUGUCAAAUCAUUCAAAUGAUGCAACAAAGCAAAGACUUUUCUCUCUGUCACCUACCUGCUGCCUUGAGUCCUCUCUCCUCGCAUCUCUUCCUCGCCUCCUCUGUUUGCAUCCUCAGAGGGAGGGUCAAGGAUGAGGGGAGAGGAGGUGAGGGAAGGAAACUCGCCUGUACCAGGUGAGAAGACGGACUUUGGAAGAAUCUGAGGUGAACCUUCACGUCUCCUCUUCAUGGUUUACCUUCAUGGACUCUGAAGGCCUGGUAGUAGGUCUGGGACUAGUAGGACCAGGUCUGUGUGUGAGGAGGAGCAGCUGGGCUUGGAAGAAAGGAGCAGAGACUGAAUCACAUUUGAUUCUGAUCAAUAUUCCUUUAAAGGUUUAUUUGUGAUGUGACUGCAUGUAGAUCUCCAGGACGAGCCUCACUGCUGCUCUGAGGACUGAAAGCUUCACUGAGCUCUGAUUUAUUUCUCUGCUUUUAAUUCACACCUUUAAUUUCACACUUUUGUCCACAGUUCAAACUCCAGCAGCUCACAGAGCUCAUCACUGCCUCCGUCAGCUCACAGGGCGCCCCCGUGUGGUCACUGACGAGCUGUUCACAAAUUACUUUUAGAUUUGAUGUCAUUUAUUCUCAUCUUCCUGACUGUUGCUGCAAAUACAUGAAAUAAAUAACAGAAGCUUUGUGAGUGUUUCUGAACUCUUCCUACUUUUUGACUUCCAAACCUAAAACAGGAAACAUCCACACACAUCCUCAGCUCCACGUGGAGCAGAUCAAAAUGACCAUAGCAAAGAGCUAACGGUUCACACAGUGCAGAGCUGCUUAUUUCCUGCAGUUAGUGACGUUUGGAGCACAGCUGCUGUCA
rnacentral:lncRNA from 1 species